AGAGUUUGAUCAUGGCUCAGAGCGAACGUUAGCGGCGGGCCUAACACAUGCAAGUCGAACGGAUCGUAGCAAUACGGUCAGUGGCGCACGGGUGAGUAACGCGUAGAUAAUCUACCUUCCAGCGGGGGAUAACGUUCCGAAAGGAACGCUAAUACCGCAUAAGACCACGGAGUCUUCGGGCUCUGGGGGAAAAGGUGGCCUCUCCUUGGAAGCUAUCACUGGAAGAUGAGUCUGCGUCCCAUCAGCUAGUUGGUGAGGUAAUGGCUCACCAAGGCUAAGACGGGUAGCUGGUCUGAGAGGAUGAUCAGCCACACUGGUACUGGAACACGGACCAGACUCCUACGGGAGGCAGCAGUGGGGAAUAUUGGGCAAUGGGCGGAAGCCUGACCCAGCCACGCCGCGUGAGUGAUGAAGGCCUUCGGGUUGUAAAGCUCUGUGGGAAGGGGCGAAAAACUACGAAGAGAAUAUCUAGCAGGUUGACGGUACCUUCUUAGCAAGCACCCGGCUAACUCUGUGCCAGCAGCCGCGGUA
rnacentral:rRNA from 1 species